rnacentral:rRNA from 1 species
GACGAACGCUGGCGGCGUGCUUAACACAUGCAAGUCGAACGGUUAAGCGCCUUCCUUUUUGGUGGGUGUGGAUGAGUGGCGAACGGGUGAGUAACACGUGCGUAACCUGCCCCCUUCUUCUGGAUAACCGCAUGAAAGUGUGGCUAAUACGGGAUAUUCUGGGUCUGUCGCAUGAUGGGUCUGGGAAAGAUAUUGUUUCGGUGGGGGAUGGGCUCGCGGCCUAUCAGCUUGUUGGUGGGGUGAUGGCCUACCAAGGCGGUGACGGGUAGCCGGCCUGAGAGGGGGGACGGCCACACUGGGACAGAGAGACGGCGCAGACUCCUACGGGAGGCAGCAGUGGGGAAUAUUGUACAAUGGGGGCAAGCGUGAUGCAGCGACGCCGCGUGAGGGAUGGAGGCCUUCGGGUGGUGAACCUCUUUCGCCAGUGAAGCAGGCCUGCCUCGUUUGUGGGUGGGUUGACGGUAGCUGGAGAAGAAGCGCCGGCUAACUACGUG